rnacentral:rRNA from 1 species
CCUACGGGUGGCAGCAGUCGAGAAUCAUUCACAAUGGGGGAAACCCUGAUGGUGCGACGCCGCGUGGGGGAAUGAAGGUCUUCGGAUUGUAAACCCCUGUCAUGUGGGAGCAAAUUAAAAAGAUAGUACCACAAGAGGAAGAGACGGCUAACUCUGUGCCAGCAGCCGCGGUAAUACAGAGGUCUCAAGCGUUGUUCGGAAUCACUGGGCGUAAAGCGUGCGUAGGCUGUUUCGUAAGUCGUGUGUGAAAGGCGCGGGCUAAACCCGCGGAAGGCACAUGAUACUGCGAGACUAGAGGAAUAGAGGGGGAACGGGGAAUGUGGGUGUAGGAGGGAAAUGCGUAGGUAACGAGAGAGACACUCGAGGGGAAGGGGGGUUCAUGGACAUUAACUGACGCUGGGGCACGAAGGCCAGGGGAGCGAAAGAGAAUAGAUACCCCAGUAGUC